rnacentral:tRNA from 1 species
GCAAAGUGGCCGAAUCCUAGGCAAAAGACUGUAAAUCUUUCAAUGGCUAAAAGCCCAUUGCAC